rnacentral:tRNA from 1 species
GGAGGCGUGGCCCAGUGGUUAAGGCAAGAGGUUGCUAACCUCUGACCUAGAAGUAGGUCCCGUGGGUUCGAAUCCCACCGCCUCCG